rnacentral:rRNA from 1 species
GAGUUAGCCGGCGCUUAUUCCUAAGGUACCGUCACUAUCUUCCCUUAGAAAAGAGCUUUACGACCCAAAGGCCUUCUUCACUCACGCGGUAUCGCUGCGUCAGGGUUGCCCCCAUUGCGCAAAAACUUCCCCC